rnacentral:lncRNA from 1 species
GGCGACGUAGCGGUCCAGCGAGAUGGCGCAGAGGUGCAUGAUGGAGGCCGUGGAGAAGAGCACGUCCAGGUGAAGUUCUGAGGCCAAGAAAGGGUAGCUGAUUUCUCCACUGGUGAAUUUCGCUCUUGUUGCCCAGGCUGGAGUGCAAUGACGAGAUCUUGGCUCACUGCAACCUCCACCUCCCAGGUUUAAGUGAUUCUCCUGCCUCAGCCUCCCAAGUAGCUGGGAUUACAGGAAGAAAAAUGGAACUAAAAAGGGAAAACAAUAGCAACAAAGAUCAAAAUAAAUAACAAGGAAGCGGAGAGAAGAAAGAACAUGGUGAAGAGAGUGAAACGCAUUGUCAUUUGGGGUGAAUUGCAGAAAGAAAUAAAUUAUUGUUCUUAUAUAUAAGUGAGA